rnacentral:rRNA from 1 species
CGCUAUCACUCCUACGGGGAGGCAGCAGUGGGGAAUAUUGCACAAUGGGCGCAAGCCUGAUGCAGCCAUGCCGCGUGUAUGAAGAAGGCCUUCGGGUUGUAAAGUACUUUCAGCAGUGAGGAAGGUGGAGUCGUAUUAAGUAGGCCGCCAUUCGAUUGCAGUUAGCUGCAGAAGAAGCACCGGCUAACUCCGUGCCAGCAGCCGCGGUAAUACGGAGGGUGCGAGCGUUAAUCGGAAUUACUGGACGUAAAGCGCAUGCAGGUGGUUUGUUAAGUCAGAUGUGAAAGCCCGGGGCUCAACUCGGAAUAGCAUUUGAAACUGGCAGACUAGAGUACUGUAGAGGGGGGUAGAAUUUCAGGUGUAGCGGUGAAAUGCGUAGAGAUCUGAAGGAAUACCGGUGGCGAAGGCGGCCCCCUGGACAGAUACUGACACUCAGAUGCGAAAGCGUGGGGAGCAAACAGGAUUAGAUACCCUGGUAG